CUACGGGAGGCAGCAGUGGGGAAUUGUUCGCAAUGGGCGCAAGCCUGACGACGCAACGCCGCGUGGAGGACGAAGAUCUUCGGAUCGUAAACUCCUGUCGAGCGGGACGAAAGACCCGGGGUUUAAUACAUCCCGGGAGUGACGGUACCGCGAGAGGAAGCCCCGGCUAACUCCGUGCCAGCAGCCGCGGUAAUACGGGGGGGGCAAGCGUUGUUCGGAAUUACUGGGCGUAAAGGGCUCGUAGGCGGUCUGCUUAGUCAGACGUGAAAUCCCUCGGCUUAACCGGGGAACUGCGUCUGAUACUGGCAGACUCGAAUCCGGGAGAGGGAUGCAGAAUUCCAGGUGUAGCGGUGAAAUGCGUAGAUAUCUGGAGGAAUACCGGUGGCGAAGGCGGCAUCCUGGACCGGCAUUGACGCUGAUGAGCGAAAGCUAGGGGAGCAAACGGGAUUAGAUACCCUGGUAGU
rnacentral:rRNA from 1 species